rnacentral:rRNA from 1 species
AGAUUGAACGCUGGCGGCAUGCCUUACACAUGCAAGUCGAACGGCAGCACGGGGGCAACCCUGGUGGCGAGUGGCGAACGGGUGAGUAAUAUAUCGGAACGUGUCCUGUAGCGGGGGAUAACCUAUCGAAAGAUGGACUAAUACCGCAUACGAUCUACGGAUGAAAGCGGAGGACCGCAAGGCUUCGCACUAUAGGAGCGGCCGAUAUCGGAUUAGCUAGUUGGCGGGGUAAAAGCCCACCAAGGCGACGAUCCGUAGCUGGUCUGAGAGGAUGAUCAGCCACACUGGAACUGAGACACGGUCCAGACUCCUACGGGAGGCAGCAGUGGGGAUUUGGACAAUGGGCGCAAGCCUGAUCCAGCCAUGCCGCGUGAGUGAAGAAGGCUUCGGUAUAAGCUCGUUCGCAGGAACGAAUGGUUCGUGCUAAUACCCACGGACUACGAUCGACGGUACCUAGAAGAAGAGACGACCGCUAACUACGUGA